UGUGUGUGUGAGUGUGAGUGUGUGAGUGUGCGUGUGUGAGUGUGUGUGUGUGCGUGUUGGCAGCCCAUGGGGAUUUCUUCCUGCUUUAUGUUGCUGCAUCACAGCCCAGACCUGGGCUCGGACGCGAGUCUCUGUGCCUGAAGCCGCUCUCAAGGAGAUGUCGGGACCAUCGGCAGAACGAGCCACAGACUCGGCUUUGAUUGUACUAUUUGUUCGGCUCCGAAGACUGGAGGUUGAGAAGUGACUCCAGGCAGCGAUGUCAGGCUUCGCAAGUGUGGCUUGUCGGCACUUUAGACCGAAGAGCGUGAGGAAACCUGCGCUGCUCUGUGUCCUCCUGUGGGUCGCCUGCUGGUUUCUUGUAAACAUAUCAACCUUCAUACACAGAAAUAUCUUUGCGGAGUAUUGCACUGACCAGAAAAGUAAAGGAAUUCUCGGUAGACUGUGCCUUGGUUACCAGCAGGGAUUACUGACAGGAGACCUGUGCAAGGAUUUGUGUGUCACCCAAACAAUGGUUUAUAAACGAUGCCUCUACUAUGAUAAAGGUAAAAAAGUUAUACAGGCUGAUUGGAAUGGACAACCAAUAAUUCUGAAAUCCAAGCUAGAAGACUUCUUAAGCUACGACAGCCUGUACCUCCUGGAUGAACAAGAAAGCAGGUCCAUUCCAGAAAUUGACAUCUUGGUCUUUACUGCACUGGAAAUCAAACACUCCUUGGGUCUGGAAGUGAAGAAUGUUACAGCACCACAACUAUGGACCAAGCACUUAAAAGACAGGAGGGGCUCAUUCUCAAGGGCAGAGCUGGCCAGUAUGUGGUCCCUGCUGCAGCAAGAGGAAUACGUAUUCUUCCAGUUACUGCAGGAUCUCAGUAAACAUGUUCUCAAAAUGAUAGGCUCCUGUGGACAUUUCUAUGCUGUCGAGUACCUUACAGCCGGCCACGCUUGGCAUCACAACCUUUUCUCCCUGGAGGAGCUGAGCCCCCACUCCUGGCGUGGCAGCAGCAGCAAGGCAUUGUGGCAGGCGACUAAUAGCAUUGCACUUAGCUUCCUUGAUCUAGCGAGGCACUUUGAGAAUGACUUUUCCCACCCGCUUCAUCUCUGUGACAUCAAGCCGGAGAACUUUGCUAUCAGGGCUGAUCUAACGGUUGUUGCAAUAGAUGUAGACAUGGCUUUUUUUGAACCCAAAAUGCGUGACAUCCUUGAACAAAAUUGUACAAAGGACGAAGACUGCAGUUUUUUUGACUGUUUCUCUCAUUGUAAUUUAAAGACUCAAAGAUGCAGAGCAGAGCGUUCAAAUAACAACCUGCAGUCAACGCCAAUUUCACUCCUUCCAUGAAGACAGAUGCAAGGUAUCCAUUUAUCUUCCACUUCCACAUGCCAGUUGCCAGGUCAUUUGUGACAAAAUAUUCCGCCCUUUAUUCUCGCCACAGCUGAGUGAACACAGGGUGCGCCAUCCACUGCAAUCCCAGCUGUACAGAGCUGUAACGAGGUGUGCCGAGCUGUCCAAGCAUGGCAAUGUGGACACGAGGACUACAGAGGACACAUUCUCUGAACUGUACAAUUUGUUUAAGGCUGGUCAGAGAAAACAAUGAAAUAAAAUAAGCUGACUACCAAAA